UACGAAGGGGGCUAGCGUUGCUCGGAAUCACUGGGCGUAAAGCGCACGUAGGCGGAUUGUUAAGUCAGGGGUGAAAUCCUGGAGCUCAACUCCAGAACUGCCUUUGAUACUGGCGAUCUCGAGUCCGGGAGAGGUGAGUGGAACUGCGAGUGUAGAGGUGAAAUUCGUAGAUAUUCGCAAGAACACCGGUGGCGAAGGCGGGUCUCUGGGCCGAUACUGACGCUGAGGAGCGAAAGCGUGGGGAGCGAACAGG
rnacentral:rRNA from 1 species